AUUGAACGCUGGCGGCAGGCCUAACACAUGCAAGUCGAACGAGUGGCGGACGGGUGAGUAAUGUCUGGGCAACUGCCUGAUGGAGGGGGAUCACUACUGGAAACGGUAGCUAAUACCGCAUACCAUCAGAUGUGCCCCGAUGGGAUUAGCUGGUUGGUGGUGUAACGGCUCACCAAGGCGACGAUCCCUAGCUGGUCUGAGAGGCUGGCCAGCGACACGGGAACGGAGCCCCGUGCCAGACUCCUACGGUAAGCAGCAGUGGGGAAUGUUGGACAAUGGGCGCAAGCCUGAUGCAGCCAUGCCGCGUGUAUGAAGAAGGCCUUCGGGUUGUAAAGUACUUUCAGCGGGGAGGCGUUACCCGCAGAAGAAGCACCGGCUAACUCCGUGCCAGCAGCCGCGGUAAUAC
rnacentral:rRNA from 1 species